UAUGGCAGCUGAAAGAGCAAAGCAUAUGAGUCUUAUUUAUUUGCAAUUAUUUCUUGGAUUGGUUUUCUUCUCUUGCAUUGCUUUCUCUAAGACUGUGGUGACUACUCUUCCUGGUUUUGAUGGGCAUCUUCCCUUUUAUCUUGAAACUGGGUACAUUGGCGUCGGAGAAUCCAAUGAGUCGCAGCUAUUCUACUAUUUUGUAGAGUCUCAAAGAAGCCCAGCGCUUGACCCU
rnacentral:misc_RNA from 1 species